rnacentral:rRNA from 1 species
GACGAACGCUGGCGGCGUGCUUAACACAUGCAAGUCGAGCGGUGCGGCGAACGGGUGAGUAACGCGUGAGUAACUGCCCCCCUCCCUGGGAUAACAGUUGGAAACGGCUGCCAAUACCGGAUAGUGGGGGAUGACUCGCGUCCUAUCAGCUUGUUGGUGGGGUAGUGGCCUACCAAGCCGACGACGGGUAGCCGGCCUGAGAGGGGGACCGGCGACAUUGGGCGGAGGUAGGGCCCAGACUCCAACGGGGGACAGCAGUGGGGAAUAUGACGCAAUGAGGGAACCCGUGAUGCAGCGACGCCGGGUGCGGGAUGACGUUCUACGGGUUGUAAACGGCUUUCAGCCAUGACGCGGUAGUGGCAGAAGAAGCACCGGCUAACUACGUGCCAGCAGCCGCGGUAAUAC